rnacentral:rRNA from 1 species
AGUGAACGCUGGCGGUAGGCCUAACACAUGCAAGUCGAACGGCAGCACAGUAAGAGCCUGCUCUUACGGGUGGCGAGUGGCGGACGGGUGAGGAAUACAUCGGAAUCUACUUUUUCGUGGGGGAUAACGUAGGGAAACUUACGCUAAUACCGCAUACGACCUACGGGUGAAAGCAGGGGAUCUUCGGACCUUGCGCGGUUGAAUGAGCCGAUGUCGGAUUAGCUAGUUGGCGGGGUAAAGGCCCACCAAGGCGACGAUCCGUAGCUGGUCUGAGAGGAUGAUCAGCCACACUGGAACUGAGACACGGUCCAGACUCCUACGGGAGGCAGCAGUGGGGAAUAUUGGACAAUGGGCGCAAGCCUGAUCCAGCCAUACCGCGUGGGUGAAGAAGGCCUUCGGGUUGUAAAGCCCUUUUGUUGGGAAAGAAAAGCAGCAGGUUAAUACCCCGCUGUUCUGACGGUACCCAAAGAAUAAGCACCGGCUAACUUCGUG